ACUCAAAUGAAUUGACGGGGGCCCGCACAAGCGGUGGAGCAUGUGGUUUAAUUCGACGCAACACGAAGAACCUUACCAGGGCUUGACAUCUACCGAAUUCUCAGAGAUGAGAAGUGCCUUCGGGAGCGGUAAGACAGGUGGUGCAUGGUUGUCGUCAGCUCGUGUCGUGAGAUGUUGGGUUAAGUCCCGCAACGAGCGCAACCCCUAUCUUUAGUUGCCAGCGCGUAAUGGUGGGCACUCUAGAGAGACUGCCGGUGACAAACCGGAGGAAGGUGGGGAUGACGUCAAAUCAUCAUGCCCCUUAUGUCCUGGGCUACACACGUGCUACAAUGGCCGGUACAGAGGGAAGCAAGACCGUGAGGUGGAGCAAAUCCCAAAAAGCCGGUCUCAGUUCGGAUUGCAGGCUGCAACUCGCCUGCAUGAAGUCGGAAUCGCUAGUAAUCGCAGGUCAGCAAACUGCGGUGAAUACGUUCCCGGGCCUUGUACACACCGCCCGU
rnacentral:rRNA from 1 species